AGAGUAUACUAUGCAGAGAGAAUAAUACGAAUGCUAGUGAUCGACAUAAGAAAAAAUUUGCAAAAUGAUUUGAUAACCUUGUAAGUUGCACUAGUAAUAUGUUAUUUUUAAUAAUUAUAGAAAUAAUUAUUUGAACCAACAUAAUUUUUUAUGUUAUGGUGUAGAUAAAAUAUAAGUAUUUCAAUAAAAAAGAGGAUGCGAUCGAUGAGUUGUAUGAUUUAGCAUAUGGCCCC
rnacentral:lncRNA from 1 species